rnacentral:rRNA from 1 species
UAGGGAAUCUUCGGCAAUGGACGAAAGUCUGACCGAGCAACGCCGCGUGAGUGAAGAAGGUUUUCGGUUCGUAAAACUCUGUUGUUAGAGAAGAACAAGGACGUUAGUAACUGAACGUCCCCUGACGGUAUCUAACCAGAAAGCCACGGCUAACUACGUGCCAGCAGCCGCGGUAAUACGUAGGUGGCAAGCGUUGUCCGGAUUUAUUGGGCGUAAAGCGAGCGCAGGCGGUUUCUUAAGUCUGAUGUGAAAGCCCCCGGCUAAACCGGGGAGGGUCAUUGGAAACUGGAAGACUUGAGUGCAGAAGAGGGGGGUGGAAUUCCAUGUGUAGCGGUGAAAUGCGUAGAUAUAUGGAGGAACAGCAGUGGCGAAGGCGGCUCUCUGGCCUGUAAAUGACGAUGAGGCUAGAAAGCGUGGGGAGCAAACAGG